rnacentral:rRNA from 1 species
GAUGAACGCUGGCGGCGUGCCCAACACAUGCAAGUCGAACGGGAACCCUUGGAUUCGUCUGAGGGGGAGAGUGGCGAACGGGUGAGUAACACGUAGGUGACCUGCCCCAAAGAGGGGAAUAACCACUGGAAACGGUGGCUAAUACCUCAUGUGCUCGGUGGUUCGUUCCAUCGAGGAAAGCUCCGGCGCUUUGGGAGGGGCCUGCGGCCCAUCAGGUAGUUGGUAGGGUAAUGGCCUACCAAGCCAAUGACGGGUAGGGGGCGUGAGAGCGUGAUCCCCCACACUGGCACUGAGACACGGGCCAGACUCCUACGGGAGGCAGCAGUGAGGAAUAUUGCCCAAUGGACGAAAGUCUGAGGCAGCAACGCCGCGUGGGCGAUGAAGGCCUUCGGGUUGUAAAGCCCUUUUCUGGGGGACGAGAAAGGACGGUACCUCAGGAAUAAGUCACGGCUAACUACGUGCCAGCAGCCGCGGUAAUACGUACGUGGCGAGCGUUAUCCGGAUUUACUGGGCGUAAAGCGCGUGCAGGCGGUUCUGUAAGUCGGACGUGAAAGCUCCUGGCUUAACUG